rnacentral:rRNA from 1 species
GACGAACGCUGGCGGCGUGGAUUAGGCAUGCAAGUCGAACGGUAUCAUCCUUUCGGGGGUGAGAGAGUGGCGAACUGGUGAGUAACACGUAGGUUAUCUACCCUCAAGACGGGGACAACCCAGGGAAACUUGGGCUAAUACCGGAUGUGAGCAACUUUUAGUUGUUUGAAAGGUGGCAUAAAGCUGUCGCUUGGGGAUGAGCCUGCGUCCUAUUAGUUAGUUGGUGAGGUAACGGCUCGACCUAGGCAAUGAUAGGUAGGCGGCCUUAACGGGUGGUCGCCCACACUGGGAUUGAGAUACGGCCCAGACUCCUACGGGAGGCAGCAGUCGAGAAUAGUCUACAAUGGUCGGAAGACUGAUAGUGCGACGCCGCGUGAACGAUGAAUCCCUUCGGGGUGUAAAGUUCUUUUAUAUGUGAGCAGUGCUUCUUAUAUUAACAGUAUGGGGAAGAGAUAUUAGCAUAUGAAAUAAGCAGCGGCUAACUCCGUGCCAGCAGCCGAC